rnacentral:rRNA from 1 species
GGACGGGUGAGUAAUGCCUAGGAAUCUGCCUGGUAGUGGGGGAUAACGUUCGGAAACGGACGCUAAUACCGCAUACGUCCUACGGGAGAAAGCAGGGGACCUUCGGGCCUUGCGCUAUCAGAUGAGCCUAGGUCGGAUUAGCUAGUUGAUGGGGUAAUGGCUCACCAAGGCGACGAUCCGUAACUGGUCUGAGAGGAUGAUCAGUCACACUGGAACUGAGACACGGUCCAGACUCCUACGGGAGGCAGCAGUGGGGAAUAUUGGACAAUGGGCGAAAGCCUGAUCCAGCCAUGCCGCGUGUGUGAAGAAGGUCUUCGGAUUGUAAAACACUUUAAGUUGGGAGGAAGGGUUGUAGAUUAAUACUCUGCAAUUUUGACGUUACCGACAGAAUAAGCACCGGCUAACUCUGUGCCAGCAGCCGCGGUAAUACAGAGGGUGCAAGCGUUAAUCGGAAUUACUGGGCGUAUAGCGCGCGUAGGUGGUUUGUUAAGUUGGAUGUGAAAUCCCCGGGCUCAACCUGGGAACUGCAUUCAAAACUGACUGACUAGAGUAUGGUAGAGGGUGGUGGAAUUUCCUGUGUAGCGGUGAAAUGCGUAGAUAUAGGAAGGAACACCAGUGGCGAAGGCGACCACCUGGACUAAUACUGACACUGAGGUGCGAAAGUGUGGGGAGCAAACAGGAUUAGAUACCCUGGUAGUCCACGCCGUAAACGAUGUCAACUAGCCGUUGGGAGCCUUGAGCUCUUAGUGGCGCAG